rnacentral:rRNA from 1 species
GAUGAACGCUGGCGGCGUGCCUAAUACAUGCAAGUCGAGCGAACGGACGAGAAGCUUGCUUCUCUGAUGUUAGCGGCGGACGGGUGAGUAACACGUGGAUAACCUACCUAUAAGACUGGGAUAACUUCGGGAAACCGGAGCUAAUACCGGAUGAUAUUUUGAACCGCAUGGUUCAAAAGUGAAAGACGGUCUUGCUGUCACUUAUAGAUGGAUCCGCGCUGCAUUAGCUAGUUGGUAAGGUAACGGCUUACCAAGGCAACGAUGCAUAGCCGACCUGAGAGGGUGAUCGGCCACACUGGAACUGAGACACGGUCCAGACUCCUACGGGAGGCAGCAGUAGGGAAUCUUCCGCAAUGGGCGAAAGCCUGACGGAGCAACGCUGCGUGAGUGAUGAAGGUCUUCGGAUCGUAAAACUCUGUUAUUAGGGAAGAACAUAUGUGUAAGUAACUGUGCACAUCUUGACAGUACCUAAUCAGAAAGCCACGGCUAACUACGUG